AUUGAACGCUGGCGGCAUGCCUUACACAUGCAAGUCGAACGGCAGCACGGGUGCUUGCACCUGGUGGCGAGUGGCGAACGGGUGAGUAAUGCAUCGGAACGUACCCGGAAGUGGGGGAUAACGUAGCGAAAGUUACGCUAAUACCGCAUAUUCUGUGAGCAGGAAAGAGGGGGAUCGCAAGACCUCUCGCUUUCGGAGCGGCCGAUGUCGGAUUAGCUAGUUGGCGGGGUAAAGGCCCACCAAGGCGACGAUCCGUAGCGGGUCUGAGAGGAUGAUCCGCCACACUGGGACUGAGACACGGCCCAGACUCCUACGGGAGGCAGCAGUGGGGAAUUUUGGACAAUGGGCGCAAGCCUGAUCCAGCCAUGCCGCGUGAGUGAAGAAGGCCUUCGGGUUGUAAAGCUCUUUUGUCAGGGAAGAAAUGCUCUGGGUUAAUACCCUGGGGUGAUGACGGUACCUGAAGAAUAAGCACCGGCUAACUACGUG
rnacentral:rRNA from 1 species